UACGAAGGGGGCUAGCGUUGUUCGGAAUCACUGGGCGUAAAGGGCGCGUAGGCGGCUUUAUAAGUCGGGGGUGAAAGCCUGUGGCUCAACCACAGAAUUGCCUUCGAUACUGUAGAGCUUGAGACCGGAAGAGGUUAGUGGAACUGCGAGUGUAGAGGUGAAAUUCGUAGAUAUUCGCAAGAACACCAGUGGUGAAGGCGGCUGACUGGUCCGGUUCUGACGCUGAGGCGCGAAAGCGUGGGGAGCAAACAGG
rnacentral:rRNA from 1 species